rnacentral:tRNA from 2 species
GGAGGACUAGUCUAAUGGUAAGGCAUCUGACUUGAAAUCAGACGGGUGAAAGCCCUUGGGGGUUCGAGUCCCUCGUCCUCCGCCA